rnacentral:rRNA from 1 species
UACGUAGGGGGCAAGCGUUGUCCGGAUUUACUGGGCGUAAAGAGCGUGUAGGCGGCCACGCAGGUCCGUUGUGAAAACUGGAGGCUCAACCUCCAGCUGUCGACGGAAACCGUAUGGCUAGAGUCCGGAAGAGGAGAGUGGAAUUCCUGGUGUAGCGGUGAAAUGCGCAGAUAUCAGGAGGAACACCGGUGGCGAAGGCGGUGGUCUGGGCCGGAACUGACGCUGGAGGAGCGAAGGCGUGGGGAGCGAACAGG